rnacentral:rRNA from 1 species
CUGAUGCAGCGACGCCGCGUGAGGGAUGACGGCCUUCGGGUUGUAAACCUCUUUCAGUACCGACGAAGCGCAAGUGACGGUAGGUACAGAAGAAGCACCGGCCAACUACGUGCCAGCAGCCGCGGUAAUACGUAGGGUGCGAGCGUUGUCCGGAAUUACUGGGCGUAAAGAGCUCGUAGGCGGUUUGUCGCGUCGUCUGUGAAAACCCGCAGCUCAACUGCGGGCUUGCAGGCGAUACGGGCAGACUUGAGUACUGCAGGGGAGACUGGAAUUCCUGGUGUAGCGGUGAAAUGCGCAGAUAUCAGGAGGAACACCGGUGGCGAAGGCGGGUCUCUGGGCAGUAACUGACGCUGAGGAGCGAAAGCGUGGGUAGCGAACAGGAUUAGAUACCCUGGUAGUCCACGCCGUAAACGGUGGGCGCUAGGUGUGGGUUUCCUUCCACGGGAUCCGUGCCGUAGCUAACGCA